GAUGAGACGAAUUGAAAACAUAUAGCAAAUUGUAGACCAGAAUCCAACCAUUGUUAAGUGAAGAAAUGACAGGACUUUGCAAACGUUAGCAGGACCGCCGAGCACUGUGGGGAGAACAGACAUGGGCAAGAGGAGACGUUCUGGACUCACACAGGGAAACUCGGGCUAAGGAAUGAAGGUCUUUUACAAAUUGGAAUUCUAAUCAUUCAGGGAUUAUCAACAUUGUGCUACCUACUGUAUUAAUAAACAAAAAGGAAACUUCGUUUCUAUGAGAAUCUCUACGUGGUGGCUUCAGACAAAACUUCACCGGGUUUAGAGAGAAAACCCCUGUCUCUACACCUCCAUUCCCAGGGCGAGCUCACUCUCUGGCAUCAAGUUCCCCGUGGUGAGUUUCCCUGUACAAAGGUCCAAGGGGAGAGGUAAGGAGUGGGAGGCAGGGGGUCCAGUUCAGGGACGGGGAUUCCAGGACGAGUAGGGAAGGGGAAGGGGCUGGGCGCAGCCUGGGGGUCUCUCCCUGGUUUCCACAGACAGAUCCUCG